rnacentral:lncRNA from 1 species
UUUUUUUUUUUUUAUUUACAGAAGAAAAUAUAAUUAAGAGAAAGAAAGAGAAAUACAAUUACAGAGAAUAAGACAUCCUCCAAAUAUUCAUAUAAACUUUUCAGUGCUAGCAAAACAACACACAUUCACAUCACACCAUAUCUGCAAUUGCAUUAAGCAUCAAAGCAUCAUCCAUAACCAGCCACUCUUCAGCUGAGUGGUUCCUUACUUCCCUCCACCUCGAGGGAGUAGGUUCCAGUGUGGCCUGCAGUUACAUGCCACUUUAAACGGCCUUCGAGCAAGAAAAAGAAAAAAAAAGAGCAUCAAAGAAGAAAACCGAUCAGAUCAGAAGAUACUUGCUAAGUUCAGAUCAGCAGAUGAUAAGACUGGAGUCCAAAUUAAUGAAGUAGGACUAAAUGGCAGCAGUAUAUAAGCAAACUGUUGACUAAAUAUUAAAUGUAAAUGAAUCUGAAAUCUACUUGUAAGGAGGUAAUCACCAGGACACCGACUAGAGGAGUUAUCCUUGAUCGAACAGAAGUAAUUAAAAAUGGGGUGUGAAAAACUUGUACCAAGCAGCUAAAGACAAUAAACAAAAUGAACAUUAGGAUCAGUUGAAAGCCUUACUAGUUGAAGAGAGAGAGGAGACAGAAAAGUGGGAAGAUCAUUUCUUAUGGAAAAUGUGUUUCAAUUUAAAUAAAUAUUUCCAGGUAAACCAUAAAGGCUUCAAAUGUUUCAUGUACAAAUGAUGCUAUGUGAUGAUUACCAUAAUUACUAUAACGAUUGAUUGUAUCUUCAAAAACAAAAUUUUGUAAAUCAAUCA